CAAUGUAGGUAAGGAAAGUCGGCAAAACGGAUCCGUAACGUUGGGAAAAGGAUUGGCUCUGAAGGCUGUGCCGGUCGGGCUGGGGUCCAGAAGCAGGAAUGGCACUGCACCGGGACUGGCGGAGGCUCGCCGCCGAAAAAGCGGUGCGGCUGAUCCCGUACCAGCGUCGGGACCUUCCUGUGGAAAGCCACAGCUGUGCUUGUUUCCAUGGGCUUCGCGCCUGGAGGUUCUUGCUUCGGCCGGCAGAAAACAGCCAACUCAGAACUGGCACGGACCGGGGGAAUCCGACUGUCUAAUUAAAACAAAGCAUUGCGAGGGCCGCUGGUCCAUGCUGACGCAAUGUGAUUUCUGCCCAGUGCUCUGAAUGUCAACGUGAAGAUAUUAAAAAAACUGCGGGUACAGGGCGGGAGUAACUAUGACUCUCUCAUGGCUCUUGCAGGCGGCAGUUGCCGUAGUCGGGCAAGAGCGGUCGAACAAGAGGCUCUGAUGGUCGUGCCUGCGG
rnacentral:rRNA from 1 species